CAAGCACUGAGGAAUGGCGGUAAUAUAGGAUCACACUUCAGGGCGAUCAGAUCGCAUCCCAGCAGUGCCCAUCUUGUCUGAGAGAUGCCAGAUGGGCAACAGAUUGCUCCAGAGGUCACAGCAGCCUCAUGCUUCACUCCGAGAUGCAGUCAAUAAACAGAUAUUCACCAUUUAAUUAUGCCUUAUUUGUAUGGUACAUAGCUCACAUUCACUGGAAUUUGCCAGGUACUCCAGUGUAUGACCAAAAUUGGGCCGAGAGAAACACUCUUCCAUACAGACACAAACAUUCCAAGUGACUUUGCCCACAGAUGAACGUUUUCUUUUUAAGUGGGACUGGAUAGCUAUUAAACUCAGUGUAACACUGCUCUUAAGAGAGUCAGGGAUGAUGGAUUAACUCAGAGACUGGCUAGCAACAUCUCGGUUUCCAUUCUGUAGCACAGUGGUUUGCAAGUAAACACUAAGAAGAUAACAGAGGUUAUGGAGUGAGUGAUUAUUGUCAGUAAACCAUUACACUGCAAUAUCAUGUAAGAGGCUAUUUUAGGAAUCACAGUCUUGGCAUCUGUGAUUUAUCCCUGCUAGCAGAGGUUGGAGGUUUGAAAUACCACCACAAUAUUUUCCCCUUAAAAAACACAGUGAACUUGUUAAAUAUGGAAAACUGGCAUGGAGGACACAAUGCAAGCUCAACUUUCCCAAUGCGUCCUUAAAAAAAUUUAUGAGUUUCAAGUGUUCUGCCAUUCGGUUAUAAAAAUGUUCCCAUAGAAACAGUCAUGCAACACAACUUUUUGCUAUAAACACACUGAAGGGUCUAAACUGACUGCUGCGUGUUCACUCUGCUCUGAUGUGGAGCAAAAAAGCCUCCUCCACUCCCUGCCAUCCAGGUUGCCUGGCUGUUAGAAUAAUAGCACACUUUGGCUCGUGUAUAGAGAUCUCCUCAGUUAAGCUCCAAAUGAAAUAAAGAUAUUAAAGAGGUUAAUGUUAUUUUGCAGGAAUUAGAUAAUCCAGUUUAAUUACUCAGCAUUUAAUCUCUCCCAGUUGCCCGUGAUUUGCAUACAUGAUACCAGGAGAAUGGAUAGCUGAAGCAAACCAAAUGCUGAAGACUGACAAAGUUGGACUAAUGGAAAUAAGCACGCUGGCACUAUCUGACCAAGUUCCUGGUUUCCUGCUGGUCUCAGUGCCAACCCAUCCCAGUGUGUCUGAUUUUGUACCUCCAGGUGCGGUGGAAGAGCUUCAAAAUUAGAAAACACCAAUGCUGACCAAACUGGAAAUGCUCAGCAGCCUCAUCUAAGGUCAACCCAUUGUUCAACCGCUGUGAUGCUGCCUAUACUUAAAGAGCAGCCUGCCAGCUUUAUCAGAACUUCAGUGUGGUGUGGAAAUGCCUUUUCCUUCAUUAUUUUCCUGCAGACAUACUGCCUGUAAAAACUGCCAGCUGGAUGGUCUCGGAAGUGGAGGCUAUUCACUGUGCAGAGCACACGCUGUCACACAGUGAUGCCAGGUGGAGGGUGGGGUAGAAAGGUUCCUGGGCUGUGCUUUUUGGCCAAGAGUUUCCCUUCUUUGCUAUCACUGGUUUUGCUCCAUUUGUGGUAAUAACAGUAGAGAGCAAUUGUUCAGGCGGCACUCAAAGGUGGUGCUUUUGCCAGUGUCAUCUACAGAAAUGUAAAACAAAACACAACAGUAUCUGCUGGCUCCCAGGCUUUUAGAGUAGCACCAUCUACCACCACCACUGAUGGAACCAGCCCAGGAAUACCAAUUACUUUGGGUUUUUUUUUUCCUACAGAAUUUAGAUGAGGCCACUCUGGUUCAUCUUUGAGCUGAAAGUACAAAUUCCACAUCUACUGAAUGUUCAGCCUGUCAUCCAACUCGUGCUCCUUGCUCAGGUCAUUGGUAUUGCUGUCUGGUAUCACCACCUUCUGAUGGCAUAAGAUUGCCCUGCAUUACAACAAAAGCCUUGGUUAAACAGAGUAGAUCUGAUUAUUUGAAGGAAGCUCUUCCUUAUGUACUUUGGAUACUCGUUUUCCCUGGUCAUAGCACUAGAUCAUUUAUUCACUGAAAAUCUCCAUGGAAGUUUGCAGCAGAGAUGUAGGAAAUUAAGCCUUUCCCUGGGACUCAGCAGUAAGUGCACGUCAUAGCGGAGGCUGCUAUGCAGUCAGUAAGUCACUUUGGAAACUGCUGCCCAUGUAUGCCCCGAAUUCCUGCCAGCUCAGGCUCCCUUGGGUUACAAGGCAGAGGAUCGGAGUGCCCCAGCAUUGAAAUGCACCAUCCAAAGCAGGUGAUGUAAAAGGUGCCGUAGCAGGGUAGCAUCAGCCUCAUCUACUGAGAUAGAACUGGCUGCAGUUCUGCACAAACACUGGCACACACACCAGUUAUGCUUGGAACUCUGCUAACAAGGCAGGGUUUGGAGGACUUCACUCUUGGACUUGAAUGUCCAAAUUCCACUGUAGCCUUGGCUCCAAAACGCAAGCCCUUCUGGGCCAAGGUCCUUCCAUGACUCAGUUCAAAGCACAUAAAGUAGAGAAAAUAAUCACUCCUUGUCAAGGAGAUGAGCUGCAAAUAAGUCAUGUAAAAUAUUCUGAUGUCUGUAUUAUUUUUUUCCUACUUGGGAUCAAUGGCAAAAUGGACACUGUGCGGAAAACCACAACCCAACAGGAACAGAAUUAACUGCUGCAGGAACUGAUAUUCCUAACAGCACUGAAUGACAAAAGAGGGGAAACUUCAGCACAGCCUCCUUCGAACAUCUCAGCCAUAGCUGGGAUUCUUUUCCAGAAAACAAAUGAAGGGGGUAUCUAAGAGCUAUGAAUACUGCAAAUUGACCUUUACAUUUGCCUACAGCCUUCUGGGUUACCUACGCUCUCCUAACAUGAUCCAGGACUUCUGCAUCCCAUUUCCUCCCCUUUUCCACACUUGCUGCCAGCUUUGCAAUCAUUUCUACUCUGACAAAUACACUUUCUCUCCUCAUCUCCAUUUCUGGGUUACUUCACAAAAUAAAGCCUUCGAAAGCUAGAGAUCUCCUUUUGACCAGUUAUAGUCACAAGUACUGCACACGGGAACACCUGAUGAAUUCUCAUCUGUCUUUCUCUCUCCAUGCCAAGGGCAAGGGUAAAGAUAAUAUUUCAUGGCGUAAGCUGCCUUACAAAACGCUCAGGGGCAGGUUGUAACACUCUUGUUUCCAAAACACAUUUUUUAUCAAGGCAAAAAGUAAACAAACAAAAAAGCCUCCAUUUUGAAGCAACAUACUCUGAACACGUGAACAGCUUCCAUCUCUAGCUUGGUUCCAUGGAUGGAUGACCUGCUUGUUAUGUACAGGAAAAGUCAAUACACUUCAGAGUGCUCAAAGACUGAAAGCAUUAUGUCCAUUUAACACCCGUGUAUGCAAAACUCACUGUACUCUUUGGGGGAAAAAAACCAAAAACCUGAAAAUAACUCUUUUUUUUCCCCCAGAAAAAUGAAAGAAAACACAGAGGACAUUAAAACGACCAAGUAACUUAAGGCUAUGAAGUCUACCAGUUAUAAAUAAGGAGGACACAGUAUACAAAUCCAAGUCAGGCAAACAAGCGCUCACUUGUGAUCUUGUUCCACAGUCAAGACAGUAAAAUAAUAAUGGGGAGGGAAGGCCGUGGAACAGCACCUGCAAUGAAAACGGGAGGGCUAUCACACAGCUUCUUAUAAACCUUGACUAUGUCAAUGCUCCCUUUGUUAUUUAUCAGGUUUUGCUUUAGAUGAACUCCAGUAUCAUUAUCAGCAUUAUACUGAUGCGUGCUGAAACACAGCAUUUGAAUCUACCAUCUGACACACCUUCAGAUAUGUUUUGUUUUUAUUCCUUGAUUACUCCUUAAUAGCAACAGCUUUGGCACUUCUCAUUACUUGGAGCAUGAGCAAGGUUGUCCAGAUCCCACGAACCAGGAACACUUUGUAUGUCCUAGAACAGAAGUGGUGAGGCAGAAAUGAGGUGCAGCUCAUAAAAAAAUAAAAGAUAAAACAAGGGGCUUUUGAUUGCUUGGACUUUUUGAUAGCUGUUCAAAGAGCAAUGUUAUAAAGCACUUAGAUGUCUUUCUGGCAGAGCUGCAACAGAGAGCACUGCCCAGCAAAUAAUUCCAACAACAGCAUCUCUCCAUUGAGACAUUUACAUAGAGCUGGAAUUAAUAAUUUGUUUCUUACUACAAAUGUGCUCCACAAUCUUAUCUGGGUUAAAUUAAAAUUGGCACCGCAGCAGACAGGCAAGUGCAGAUCAAGCCAAAGGUGUUCCUUCACUUUUGU
rnacentral:lncRNA from 1 species